UUUUGUUGGGGUUUUUUUUUUGUAAUUAUCUGCUUGCUGCUUAAAUUUUUAAUUGUGCUGUUACGGUAUCUGGCUGGUUCUGUUAUGUAGUUACUCUUUUCAGCGUUUUCACUGGGGCUUUGUCCUCAACUGGUGGGAAGUGAGAGUUCAAUCUUCAUUAGGUAAAGCAGUUUCUGCCCAGGGAGGACUUGGAACGAGGUAUUCAUUGUGGCCCUUCAUCAUAGCAGAUAAAUUCUUCUCUGUGCCUAAAACUGUAGUGAGUAAAGCCAUGUACUAAAUGAAGUUAAGUCUAGCUGCUAAUAACCUGUAUAUAAAUUUAGCUCUAUUUUGUGUAUCUUGUUUUGUGUGUAUAUGUUGCUGUGAUUUUACUUUCUUUCCCUUUGUGCUAGAGGUAACUGUCUUGCACAAAUCUGAUAAAUCAUCUAUUAAACUAGAAUAAACCCAAUGAAAUGAUGGCUGA